UCAAGCGAACAAGGGCGCAGGGCGAAUGCCUUGGCACUGGGAGCCGAUGAAAGACGUGAUAAGCUGCGAUAAGCUUCGGGGAGCUGCAAAUAAGCAUUGAUCCGGAGAUUUCUGAAUGAGGAAACUCACCUGGGUUCAUACUCAGGUACGUUGUACUGAAAUUCAAAAUAGGUACAUCGGGGGAACCGCCUGAACUGAAACAUCUAAGUAGGGCGAGGAAGAGACAUCAAACGAGAUUCCGUAAGUAGUGGCGAGCGAACGCGGAAGAGGGCAAACCGAAGGUAGAAAUACCUUCGGGGUACGGACUGCUUUUAGGACUCAAUCUGUUAACCGAACGGCAUGGGAAGGCCGGUCAGAGAGUGUGAGAACCACGUAGGUGAAAACGGAAAGAGCUGCGCAGAUUCCAGAGUACGGCCAGACACGUGAAACCUGGUCGGAAGAUGGGGGGACCACCCUCCAACCCUAAAUACUACCCAGUGACCGAUAGCGUAUAGUACUGUGAAGGAAAGGUGAAAAGCACCCCGGGAGGGGAGUGAAAAAGAACCUGAAACCCUGUGCCUACAAGCACCUAGAGCACGUCAAAGUGUGAUAGGGUACUUUUUGUAGAACGGUCCGGCGAGCGAUUGUAUGCAGCAAGGUUAAGGACUUAAGGUCUGGAGCCGAAGCGAAAGCGAGUUUGAAAAGGGCGUUAAGUUGCAUAUAAUGGGCCCGAAACCGGGUGACCUACCCAUGGUCAGGUUGAAGUGGAAGUAAAAUUCCAUGGAGGACCGAACCGACCUCCGUUGAAAAGGCGGCGGAUGAACUGUGGGUAGCGGAGAAAUUCCAAUCGAACCCGGAGAUAGCUGGUUCUCCCCGAAAUAGUUUUAGGACUAGCCUCAAGUUAGAUACCUGGAGGUAAAGCACUGAAUAGCCUAGCGGCCGAGAGGUUAGCGAAGCUUAUCAAACUCAGAAUGCCAGAGUAUUGAUGCUUGGGAGUCAGACAGUGUCAGAUAAAUGUCAUUGUCAAAAGGGAAACAGCCCAGAUCUACAGCUAAGGUCCCAAAGUCAGGUUAAGUGGAAAACGAUGUGAAGAUACGCAGACAACCAGGAUGUUGGCUCAGAAGCAGCCACUCAUUCAAAGAGUGCGUAAUAGCUCACUGGUCGAGCGUCUUUGCGCGGAGAAUUUAACGGGGCUAAACCUGACACCGAAGCUUAGGCAAUCCAGCAAUGGAUUGGGUAGGGGAGCGUUGUAUACGCGGAGAAACAGUAGCGUAAGCGGCUGUGGAGUGUAUAGAAGUGAGAAUGCCGGAAUGAGUAGCGCGAAUGCAGUGAGAAUCUGCAUGGCCGAAAGCCUCAGGUUUUUGGAGGAAGGUUCGUCCGCUCCAAGUUAGUCGGGAGCUAAGGUGAGGCCGGAAGGCGUAGCCGAUGCACAGACGGUAGAGAUUCCGUCACCACCAAAAGAGUUAAGCACAGGGACACAUUUGAAGUCUCAGAGCCGGGUGUUGGUUCCGGUAGAGAUCGAGGGAAAUUAGUACCGAAGUCUGAGAUGGAAGAUGGCGAGAAAAGCUGUGUGUAUUUCUGAGGUGCCCGUACCGCAAACCGACACAGGUAGGUAGGAAGAAGAUUCUAAGGCCAACGGGAGAAGGGUUGUUAAGGAACUCGGCAAAUUGACCCCGUAACUUCGGGAUAAGGGGAGCCUCCUACGGGAGGCCGCAGUGAAAAGGCCCAAGCGACUGUUUACCAAAAACACAGGUCUAUGCUAAAUCGAAAGAUGACGUAUAUGGGCUGACGCCUGCCCGGUGCUGGAAGGUUAAGAGGAGAGCUUAGCGCAAGCGAAGGUUUGAAUUGAAGCCCCAGUAAACGGCGGCCGUAACUAUAACGGUCCUAAGGUAGCGAAAUUCCUUGUCAGGUAAGUUCUGACCCGCACGAAAGGCGUAAUGAUUUGGGCACUGUCUCAACAGCCCGCCCGGCGAAAUUGUAGUACCGGUGAAGAUGCCGGUUACCCGCGACAAGACG
rnacentral:rRNA from 1 species